GAUGAGGUGGCCGAGAGGUUAAGGCGAUGGACUGCUAAUCCAUUGUGCUCUGCACGCGUGGGUUCGAGUCCCACCCUCGCCG
rnacentral:tRNA from 1 species